AGUGAACGCUGGCGGUAGGCCUAACACAUGCAAGUCGAACGGCAGCACAGUAAGAGCUUGCUCUUACGGGUGGCGAGUGGCGGACGGGUGAGGAAUACAUCGGAAUCUACUUUUUCGUGGGGGAUAACGUAGGGAAACUUACGCUAAUACCGCAUACGACCUACGGGUGAAAGCAGGGGAUCUUCGGACCUUGCGCGAUUGAAUGAGCCGAUGUCGGAUUAGCUAGUUGGCGGGGUAAAGGCCCACCAAGGCGACGAUCCGUAGCUGGUCUGAGAGGAUGAUCAGCCACAUGGGAACUGAGACACGGUCCAGACUCCUACGGGAGGCAGCAGUGGGGAAUAUUGGACAAUGGGCGCAAGCCUGAUCCAGCCAUACCGCGUGGGUGAAGAAGGCCUUCGGGUUGUAAAGCCCUUUUGUUGGGAAAGAAAAGCAGCAGGUUAAUACCCCGCUGCUCUGACGGUACCCAAAGAAUAAGCACCGGCUAACUUCGUG
rnacentral:rRNA from 1 species